rnacentral:rRNA from 1 species
UACGGAGGAUGCGAGCGUUAUCCGGAUUUAUUGGGCUUAAAGGGUGCGUAGGCGGAUCGUUAAGUCAGUGGUCAAAUUGAGGGGCUCAACCCCUUCCCGCCAUUGAAACUGGCGCUCUUGAGUGGAAGAGAAGUAUGCGGAAUGCGUGGUGUAGCGGUGAAAUGCAUAGAUAUCACGCAGAACCCCGAUUGCGAAGGCAGCAUGCCGGCUUCCGACUGACGCUGAAGCACGAAAGCGUGGGGAUCGAACAGG